rnacentral:tRNA from 1 species
GCUGAGGUCGCAUAACUAGGUAGUGCGCCAGAUUCUGUAGUUGGUGGGCGAAAGCCCAUGAGGGUUCAAAUCCCUCCCUCAGCG